rnacentral:rRNA from 1 species
CGGUAGCAGGAAGAGCUUGCUCUUUGCUGACGAGUGGCGGACGGGUGAGUAAUGCUUAGGAAUUUGCCUUUUGGAGGGGGACAACAGUUGGAAACGACUGCUAAUACCGCAUAAUACCUGAGGGUCAAAGGGGGCUUUUAGCUCUCGCCAAAAGAGAAGCCUAAGUGAGAUUAGCUAGUUGGUAGGGUAAAGGCCUACCAAGGCGACGAUCUCUAGCUGUUCUGAGAGGAAGAUCAGCCACACUGGGACUGAGACACGGCCCAGACUCCUACGGGAGGCAGCAGUGGGGAAUAUUGCACAAUGGGGGAAACCCUGAUGCAGCCAUGCCGCGUGUGUGAAGAAGGCCUUCGGGUUGUAAAGCACUUUCAGUGGUGAGGAAAGGUUGGUAGUUAAUACCUGCCAGCUGUGACGUUAACCACAGAAGAAGCACCGGCUAACUCCGUGCCAGCAGCCGCGGUAAUACGGAGGGUGCGAGCGUUAAUCGGAAUUACUGGGCGUAAAGCGCACGCAGGCGGUUUGUUAAGCUAGAUGUGAAAGCCCCGGGCUCAACCUGGGAGAGUCAUUUAGAACUGGCAAACUAGAGUCGUUUAGAGGGGGGUGGAAUUCCAGG